rnacentral:rRNA from 1 species
GGGCAGCAUGGUCUUAGCUUGCUAAGGCCGAUGGCGACCGGCGCACGGGUGAGUAACACGUAUCCAACCUGCCGUCUACUCUUGGACAGCCUUCUGAAAGGAAGAUUAAUACAAGAUGGCAUCAUGAGUCCGCAUGUUCACAUGAUUAAAGGUAUUCCGGUAGACGAUGGGGAUGCGUUCCAUUAGAUAGUAGGCGGGGUAACGGCCCACCUAGUCUUCGAUGGAUAGGGGUUCUGAGAGGAAGGUCCCCCACAUUGGAACUGAGACACGGUCCAAACUCCUACGGGAGGCAGCAGUGAGGAAUAUUGGUCAAUGGGCGAGAGCCUGAACCAGCCAAGUAGCGUGAAGGAUGACUGCCCUAUGGGUUGUAAACUUCUUUUAUAAAGGAAUAAAGUCGGGUAUGGAUACCCGUUUGCAUGUACUUUAUGAAUAAGGAUCGGCUAACUCCGUGCCAGCAGCCGCGGUAAUACGGAGGAUCCGAGCGUUAUCCGGAUUUAUUGGGUUUAAAGGGAGCGUAGAUGGAUGUUUAAGUCAGUUGUGAAAGUUUGCGGCUCAACCGUAAAAUUGCAGUUGAUACUGGAUAUCUUGAGUGCAGUUGAGGCAGGCGGAAUUCGUGGUGUAGCGGUGAAAUGCUUAGAUAUCACGAAGAACUCCGAUUGCGAAGGCAG